UAAGCAGAGGUUGUGUGUAUCAGCUUUGUGCCUUUUCACAAAUGCACUUUUAUCGAAAGAGUUCUAUGCAAAACUAUAUAUUGGGAAAGAUGGGCAGUUGUGUUUCAUCCUCUUCCAACCCGUCUUUAGUCAUUU
rfam:Ipomoea nil DNA, scaffold: scaffold0322, cultivar: Tokyo-kokei standard.